CCUUUAAAGGCCACCGUACCUGUGAGUCAUUCAAGACCCUAGAAAAAGGUUCAAACAGCGUCAAUAAAUCUGGACGGUGAAGCAGAGCGACGACUGUGAACGAACUUUGUGAAAGAAACUUAAACGUCAUAGAGAAGCUGAACUUCAGCUGCUCUGUGUGUGUGUGUGUGUGUGUGUGUGUGUGUGUGUGUGUGUGUGUGUGUGUGUGUGUGUGUGUGUGUCUGCAGUGAGUCAGCGCGGGGUGUGCUGCUGAAGUGUGUGUUGAAGAGCCUUACAUAAACAUAAAGCUGCUUUAUCAUUUGUUUACAUAAUGUUUGUUGAAGCUGAAGUUUCUGUGUGUUCGUGUUUGUGAAGGCGGUGGAGGAGUUCACGCCGCAGAGCGUCACACCUGCACACCGAUGACUCUGUCAGGCUCUCACAGGUGAAGUGUUGGAGCCGGAGGGUGGGGUCAGUUCGGAGUCAGCACCAACACCAGAGCGGAUCAAGAUGCGAAGAAAAAAGACCUGAAAUCCCUGAAAUGUAAGUCCUCAUGAAUCCCAGCUCGAUCCAGACUCUGGACCUGGAUCACCUGGACUUUAAAAUACACCUCUUAAUAUUCAGGACCAGGUAAUCCGGUCUGCUUUAGUCGAGUUUGGAAAAGGGAACAUUCAGAGAGUAAAUCUGGAUUUGAUCAGGAUUCUCUGGGUUCAGCAGCUCUGCAGAGGCCUGUCUUCAGUCCGGGUGUAAAUCCACAUGAAACCACAUGUUGAGAGUCUCUGGAGCUCACUCUCUGUCCUUGUUUGGUUGCUCCAUGUGAACACAUGUGGCUGAUCUAAAGUCGUGGACCGUAACGUCAGAACUAACCGUGAUAUUCCUGCAGAGACGAGGUUCUGACCCGGUUUAACGCUCUGUGUUAAUGAGGUUCUGGUCCUCAGGCCUCGUUGGUUCCUGAUGGACUGGAACAGCUGGUUCCUGAACUGCUGUUCAGCCUGGUUUGAGCUUUUGUCCUGACUGUUGUCUCACUCUGCUUCUCUGGGGGGUCUGUCUCCGCUCCUCUGAAACUCUUCCUCGUGUUUUAGAGGACUUUGUAAAUCCACGUUUCAAAGCUGUUGGAGACAUCAACAGUUUUUUGGUUCUUCUUCAUUUUCUGCUUGUUUGUCAAACGUUGAAACACACGGAGAGUGAAGUGUGUUGUGUUGUAUGGUAUCGUAUUGUAUCAUAUCAUAUUAUAUUCUUUUGCUCAUUUUAUAUCAUGUCAUGACGUAUCUGUUCAUCUGUUGUUUCUCUGUGUUUUGUUCUCUUGUAUCUUAUUUUACCAAGUCGUCUAACAUCUUCUAACCGUAUUAAAUCUCAGUGUAAACUUAUAUCCUAACAUAUCCGAUCAUGUUUGUAUCUCAUCUCGCUGUAUCAUAUCCUAUUGUGUCUCGUAAAACUGUAUCAGAUCAUCUUAUUUUGUAUCUUGACUUGUAAUAGUAUCUUAAUGUAUCAUAUUGUAUUCUAUAGAAUCAAAUUGUAUUUUUUCUUAUCAUAUUGUAUCAUAUCUCAUAGUAUUGUGUUUUUAAUCAUAUCAUAUUAUAUAUAUAUAUAUGUAUAUAUAUAUAUAUAUACACAUAUAUGUGUACAUAUAUAUAUAUAUAAAUAUACAUAUACAUAUAUAUAUACAUAUAUAUGUAUACAUAUAUAUAUAUGUAUGUAUAUCAUAUAACAUUGUUUCCUCUCCUAUCAUAUUUUAUCUUAUCUUAUUGUUUUCUCUCUUAUCAUACUGUAUCAAAUCUCAUGUUGUCAUGUUUGUUUAUCAUAUUGUAUUGUCUCAUAUUUCUCAUCUUAUCAUGUUGUUUUGUUUCCUAUCACAUCUUAUCAUAUAUUGUAUUGUUUUGUGUGUUAUUGUAAUGUCUCCUUUCAUAUCAUAUCUCAUUUUCUCGUGUUUUUUAUCAUAUUCUAUCAUAUUGUAUUGUUUCCUCUCUUAUCAUAUAGUAUCAUAUCUCAUGUUAUCAUGUUUUUUUAUUAUAUUGUCUCAUACUAUUUCUCAUCUUAUCGUAUGUUUUGUUUUAUCUCUUAUUUUACUGUAUUGUAAUCUUGUUUGUUUAUCAUAUUGUAUCGUCUCAUAUCAUUUCUCAUCAUAUAGUAUCAUCUCUCAUUGUAUCAUGUUUUUUAUUAUAUUGUAUCGUCUCAUAUCAUUUCUCAUCUUAUAUUGUUUUGUUUCUCAUCACAUAUAAUAUAUUAUUGUGUGUUAUUAAAAUGUAUUCCUUUGUAUCAUAUCGUUCCAUAUUGUGUCUUUUUCUCCUGUCUCAUAUGGUAUCAUCACAAUAAUAAUAAUAAUAAUAAUAAUAAGAAGAAGAACUGUGCAUCAAAAAGAACCAGGAUGAGACUCAGAGCUGAGAUCUUCAGGUCCGUGGAAACCCUGUCGGGGUCGUGGUUGAGGAUUUCUCUGUUCGUUCACUUUAAUCUCAUGUUUCUCUCCAUCUUUAAAAAGUCCGUCCUCUAUUUUAAUCCCUCCUUUUCUUUCUCAUUGAUUUCUGUCCAAACUCUCUCUCUCUCUCUCUCUCUCUCUCUCUUGUUUCCUGUUUUUUUUUCUCUCUCUCCAGUUUUUACCCAUUCAUCCCUCGUUUUCCCUCUAUGACGCCACUUAAUGACCAUCUCUAUGUGUGUGUGUGUGUGUGUCGGAUCUGGGAAUCACAUCAGAACUGACAGCCACCACAGACAAAAGGCCACAUCCACACACACACACACACGCACACACACACACACAGACACACACACACACACAGACACACACACACACACUUUCAGGUCAAAGGGAAAAGUGACUCAGCUCUCCCAGGAGACCCAUACACUUUCAUUACUGUGUACACACACACACACACACACACACACACACACACACACACACACACACACACACACUUAUUCGUCCUUGUUUUUUUUAUUCUUCUGUCUUUUAUUCAGUUUUUUCUUCCUGGAGUUUCUCGUGUUUUAAGGUCGACGCUCCAACAUUUAUUCUGUUUUCUCUGUUUCGCUUCUUUAUUUCUCGGCUAAUUCUGCAGCUUUGGUCCUGAAAAGUCCUGAAAAGUCCUGAAAAGUCUUGAAAAGUCCUGAAAAGUGACAAAACUACAACACAUGACAUUUGACAUUCAAUGAUCUUUGUGUGCUGGGACGUCUCACUAUUGGCUGCAGCGCCACCUACAUGUGAGUUAUAGGUUAUUUAGAUUUCCAGCGGAUCUUAAAUGAGAAAGAAACUGCAGGUCAUGAGUUUUGGGAUUGUGCUGUUCAUCCACAGGCCACAAGGUGGAGCUGUAGCUGCUGUGUUAAAUGAUCCCACACUCAUGAAGAAGUUGUUUAUGAAAAUCACUUGAAUGUGAGUCACCUGAACAGGAGGGCGUUUAUAAACACACUUUAGAGGUGUUUUAAUUCAUCUGUCUGUGGGGAGUCUCAGCUUCACUGUAGAGAGUAAGGACGGAGGAAACAACGGAGAGAGAGGAAGAGACGGCUGAGAGAGAAUGAGAAGACAUGAGAAAAGGGAAGGGAAUGAGAAAAUUAAACUAGGAAAGGAGAGAAGAAGAGGGAGUAAGAAUAGGGUAAAAAGAACUAAGGGGAGAAGGAAGCAAGGAAGAAAACAAGGGAGGGAGGAGAUGAGAAGAAGAUUGUCAUAGUUGUGGUCCGGUGAGAGAGUCACAGAGGGAGGGAGGUGACCCCUCAGAGGGAGGACCUCCGAGACCACGUAGUCUAGACACUGUUAAUACCAGGGAUUAACACACAUGCACACACACACACACACACACACACACACACACACACACACACACACACACACACACACACACAUGUAUCAGUCUGAGAAAAUGUGAAAUUCUGGAGGAAAUACUCGACUCUGAUUGGCUGACAGCUCCCUGUUAUUAUCCACACUAACACUGAUGGAACCUUUAAAUCUGUAAAGGACCUUCAAAAACCUUCCAGGAAAACGCCUGGAAUUCCAAACAGAACCUCUGGAACUCCCUGAAAGACCGUCUGGGACUCCUCGAGGCCAGUCACUAACCAAUCCGUCCCAGAAGCCUUUUUUUUUUUGUGGAUGGUAGGGGAAGGUCCCGCCCUCCUUCGCCUCUGAUUGGCUAGAAGUGCUGAGCUCUGAUUGGUUAUUGUUUAAGGCUGUGAAACGUCAUCGUCUGUUGGGUUAGGGUAAGAAGAUUCAGAAGUGCGAUAAUGUUCUGAAAUGUUCUGUUUGAUGUACAGAGUCGACAGCCCGUGUUUGGCUUAAGCGUGUGAUGAUGUUUCCAGCUUUUCUAGCCAAUGAGUGGCAAAGGAGGCGGGACUUUCUUCUACCAUCCUACAAAAAAAAAAUAUUGCGUCCAUAUGUGUGAAACAUCUGUCACUUCCUCUCUACCGAUCGAUGGCGAUGGGACAGGCUAGCUAGCAGGAGGCUCCAGAGCUAAUGCCGAGGUAUUCGCCAGAGUUCCUGCCCAGAACGGUGAGACCUUUUGGACCACAGAGAGCGCCACCACCUGGUCGAAAUAUUCACAUUCAUUCAAGCCUUUUAGAACUACGUUAAAAUUUUAUGAUUUAGCUGGAGUAGGAAUCUUUAAUCGUAAACCUGGGCGCCGUUCUCUUGACUUUCUGGCGCUCCGCUUCAGUCAGGGGAAGAAAAAGAAAAGUGUGGCUGUUAGAAAUCGAAGCGUCCUGUCUGACUGUGGCGAGCUCGCUGAUGAUGAAGCUGACGCAAAGAUGGCGAGUAGAGGAGGUGAUGUUCGUUUCCCAUAUGUGCAGUACAAAUCGGGUUUACGGGACGGAUCAGGCAGCGACAGGCCUUCAAAAAUAUUCCAGGAGCCAUGGGAGCAUUUCAAGGAUCCUCUGUGGUCGGACGCUCUGAGGCUGAACGUUUAGCGUCAUUGUUGAAUAUUCGAGGCUCUUCUUUGUGGUUCUGGUUCCAGUUUAAGUUUGUCUAAAAGAGUUUGAGCGGACACCAAAGUCCAGUCCCAGUUUUGUGUUUGAGAAGUUCUUAAAUCAGGAAAAUGUUGAGGAAAGUUUUGACAUUUGAAGUCAGAACAAUUUUCCCCGUGAUGACUCAGUCUUGAUCAUCUUCAGACGUUUGUCGUCCCCUCCAUCUUUAACGUGUUUGUGGAUUUUUAUUUGUUUACAGUCAUUCUCUGACUCUCGUGUGUGUGUGGGCGUCGCCCCACGAUUCCUCCCUUUUUUUCGCAGCAGAAUCCGUUUCUGAUCGUCUUCUCUCGCCCUGCCUGCGAACAAAAACAUUUGGAUUCAUCCCAUAUUUUUUGGUCCUGGUUGGUGGAGACAUGAAACCACAGGGUGGAGAUUCAUUCUCUGAGAUGAACCAACAUUUAAAGAUUUGUUUUGGCUAACUCGUGUUAUUUAAACACUGUGAAAUGAUCAAAUAAUCGCUCAUGAGGCGAACAGGUGUGAGUGCAGCGAAAGGCCAGCGUCUGCUUCUUUGGCUGUGAGGGUGGAGCUGCACUUCGGAGAGUCAUUACUCCGUCUUCUUUGUUUUUUAACAGGCAGAGAGCCUCAGGAACAAACAGAGUGCAGCUCUCGGUUUGGGCCGAUGUCUCCCACAGAAAAACAAAAACCCACCUCAGUGUUUAGUCUCCUGUUGCCUCGUUUCUUUUCCAGCCUGGACAAAAGGAUUCUGGGAGGGACACGACCAAACGGAGCAGAUCUGGAAAUUCCUGCGCUGGAUUGUUUUUGAGCUGCAACCAGAGAGAUGAGUCACAGUGGGUAAGGACUGUACGCUCACACACACAUAAACACACAUAAACACACACACACAUAAUCAGGCACGAGGGCAGAAUAUCGCAUGCAAACAUCUGCACACAACCUGAAACGUGUACACACAGUUGGACGUAUGGAACACAGAGACUUAUUUACAUCCUGGAAACACAUGUAUGCAUGCAUCAGGAUCAGGGGGCUUUUAUUGUGAAGGAGAAAACUGGCAGGAUAUAAAAGAGUAUCUUCAUGAAAACAGACACAACACCAAACAUGGAACAGAAGGUCUUCAGCGUCUCCUUUACAUGCAUCAAAUCACAGCUCAGGAGACCAGAUCUGGACCUGCGUACAAAUCCACACCAUCAGGGCGCCGCUUCAGUUCAAGUUUUCACCACACGCACAGACGUCAGAAGUCCUCAUCAGUCACAGACUGAGCGCCCAGUCCAGUCCUCUGCCGGUUCUUUGUUUGUGUUCAGCUGUCCUGUUCGAUAAAGGUGAGGAGGUCCAGGCCGAGACUCGGACUUCAGCUCGAAUCAGUCCUCGAAUGUUCCCCACAGAUCAGGGGAGAUCAUUUUUAUGACGCAAGACCCUCCAAUCAGAGACCAGAGAUCAUCCAAACGGGUCAAAUCAACAUAAACCAGCUCAGAGGAACGAGAGGAGGACAUGUCUGUGGACGACUGACCGAGUCCCCUGACCAAGUCCCCUGAUACUAACAUUAAAAUGUAACCUGGUGAAGAUACCGUCAUGACUGUUAGCUUUGACCUCAGACAAACCGGCUCUCUGGUCCUGGACUAGAUCCACGUAGAUCUCCAAAUGUCUUUAUUUGAUAUCAUGUUGAUUAAAACCAGAUCAGUCUCUCAAAAGACUCGAGAUUCAGAACCAAAGGACUUGAACCGGGUUUGUAAACUAGAAACAUGACUUGUACUUGUCCCAGACAAGUUUAGGACUUGGACAUGAUACCAAAAAGUUGGGUCUCAACUUGGACUUGUGAACAAAGUCCAGAUAGACCAAGAGACCAUGAGACUUGGGACUUGAAUUAACCUUGUGCCCACCAAAACUUAGGACUUGGACUUGCUCCUCACAUACUUGGGACUUGACUGUUACUUGUGAGCAGAAGACGAAAGACUUGAUAAGAACUUGUUCCUGAUCCACAUCAGACUUGGACUUAUGACUUGACUUGGACUUAUAGCCACGCGUGAAUAUUUGACUUGGACUCGUGUCACAAAGUCUCAGGACUUGACUUAAAUUCGCUACCAGAAGUUUGGACUUGAUUUUAAAAUGUGUGUAAAUAUUUGGGACUUGAAAUGUGACUUCCUUUGGGACUUGACUUGGACUUUCCUCUGAAGACUUGGGACAUGUUUUGGACUUGUGAUCACAAGACUAAAGACUUGCGAAUUGUGAUUUGAUUUGAACUAAUUUCUAAGCGUUAAGACUUUAACUAACUAAAAAACAAAAGUCCCAGGACUUAUAUUUGGACUUGGACUUGUGACCCAAAUACUUUUAACUUUGGACUUUAUUCAACUGUCAGCAAAAAGACCUGGGACUUGAAUCAGACCUUGGACUUUCACUUAAGGCUUAAAACAUGAUGUGGCUUCACAGACUCGGGUUUCUUGACUUUGGCCACAAAAUGUCGGACUUGACUUGGAAAAGUCAAAGAUGUGACCAGACUUGAGCUCACUCGCACGAGAACAGACUUAACGAAGUCUUGUCCUCGCUUUUAAUCGGAGACUUGGGACUUGACGGACUUGUGGCCGAAAGUUUUGUGACUUGGACCUUCAUUAUGCACUUGUUCAGUUGGGCCUUUGUCUUUGGACUCAUUGGGACCUGCUCGCAGUAGAAGACAGCCCCUGGUGGACACUCUGGGAACUGCAGUUUUUGACAGCAUGUUGUAUCCUGGUUUUUAUUUGCUUUUUGUGAAUCUUUCUGCUGCCCCCUAGUGGUCCAAAGAAGUCCCUCCAGCCUCAGUAUGGGGGUCAAAGUUAAAGGAGGAUAAAGUGUUGGAAAACAGCGCCUGAGUGAGUGUUUUGAUUCUGGUAAAAAUAACAGAGGUGUGGCCCCUCGUAGUACUACACACACACACACACACACACACACACACACACACACACACACUCUGGCUGUCUGUACCUGUAAUAAAACCACAGGUAGCAGCACGCCUCGGAGCGUCUUUAUUUAGUAACCACCCACACGUCGGUUACCUCACUGACUGUUAGGAUUCCCCCAGGAACCAAAUCCUGCCGGCUCUUACCAACCGGGGUGUGACACAGAAACACACCUCCAAGCAAACACACACACACACACACACACACACACACACACACACACACACACACACACACACACACCUGACUAUCAGCUGCAGUCUGGAGGCGUGUCUAGACCAUGAUGCACGAGCUGCUUCAUCAGACUGUUGUGACCCUCUGUGUCAUCC
rnacentral:lncRNA from 1 species